UCUGGAGCACUCUAGGAAGCUUUGCUUCAGCUUUGUUUUUUGGUGGCAAAGGAAAACCGAUCUCCUGGUUUACUUUUGGAAUCUGCAAAGCAACCCUGAGGUCCCAGGUGGAUUUAGUGUUUGGAAAAGGGAACUUGGGGAACUAAGGUUGACCCUGAGCCCCCAGGUCACUGUUCACAUUUACAAAAGCAAACCUAGUAUCCCCAAUUGCUUUUCUCUUGAGGUUGGCUUAACUUUAUUUUCUUCUGUCUUGGGUCACUGCCCCUGAGGUGCUUCAAAAGCAAAAUCCAAAAGACCCAAAACAAAGAAAGCUAAACCAGAUUCAAGGAAAAAAUGACCUGGCACUGUGGAUUCAUUUUUACAAAGGCAAAAAGCCACUUCAAGAGUUCCAAAGAAUGGUUUUAAAUCUGCCUAGAUUCAUUCUGUCAUUUGCAUAAAGUGACUUCAUCAAGUCUGAGACCCCAAGUUUCUUGGGUGUGGUUUAGGAGUGAGUUCUUGGGAUGGGAAGCUGGUCAGCAAGCUAAAUGGGUUGACACAGGUAGAUUCCUCCGUAAUUCAACUAUUUUGAGCCUAUAAAUGGGACCACCCAUGCAACCACUUCUCCCCUUAAGCUGCUCUUUUUGUUUUCUGGACACACAGGGAGCACUGAGGAAAUGAAAUUUAUAACUCAUGUACAAGUAUUGGUAUAAAUCCACUUAAUGUUAUUAGUUAUGAAGGGUAUUUUUGAAUCCUUGGUGGGAAAAAAAGGAUACUAAUUUCAGAUAAUCUUAUAAAUUGUGAUGAGAUAAAACUGAGGCACAUUGUUUUGCUAUUCAUUUUUAUAUGAGCCAUAGUUUGCUUACUUCCCAAAAGGAUUUAAGGUGGAAUUAUUUUACUCAACUGUUGGGACAAACCUAUUUAUAUAACUUAAUACCAAUUUUC
rnacentral:lncRNA from 1 species